rnacentral:rRNA from 1 species
UACGGGGGGGGCAAGCGUUGUUCGGAAUUACUGGGCGUAAAGGGCUCGUAGGCGGCCAACUAAGUCGGACGUGAAAUCCCCAGGCUCAACCUGGGAACUGCGUCCGAUACUGGAUGGCUUGAAUCCGGGAGAGGGAUGCAGAAUUCCAGGUGUAGCGGUGAAAUUCGUAGAUAUCAGGAGGAACACCGGUGGCGAAGGCGGCCAUCUGGACGACAACUGACGCUGAGACGCGAAAGCGUGGGGAGCAAACAGG